UUGGAUGGUGCUGGUUCGGUACGGUUCGGCUGGGUUGGAUGGAUGCGCGCGCGCGCAAGCGGCUGCCGGAGAGAGACAGUGUGAGUGUGAAUGUGUGUGUGUGAG